UCGAUGCCGCGUGAGUGAAGAAGGCUUUGGGUUGUAAAGCUCUUUUGUAGGGGAAGAUAAUGACUGUACCCUAAGAAUAAGGUCCGGCUAACUUCGUGCCAGCAGCCGCGGUAAUACGAAGGGACCUAGCGUAGUUCGGAAUUACUGGGCGUAAAGCGCGCGUAGGCCGUUGAGUUAGUUAAUCGUGAAAUCCCAAAGCUUAACUUUGGAACUGCAAUUAAAACUGCUCGACUAGAGUUUGAUAGAGGAAAGCGGAAUACAUAGUGUAGAGGUGAAAUUCGUAGAUAUUAUGUAGAACACCAGUUGCGAAGGCGGCUUUCUGGGUCAACACUGACGCUGAGGCGCGAAAGUAUGGGUAGCAAAGAGGAUUAGAUACCCUCGUAGUCCAUACCAUAAACGAUGAUUGCUAGAUGUUGGAAAUUUAUUUUCAGUAUCGCAGCUAACGCAUUAAGCAAUCCGCCUGGGGAGUACGACCGCAAGGUUAAAACUCAAAUGAAUUGACGGGGACCCGCACAAGCGGUGGAGCAUGUGGUUUAAUUCGAAGAUACGCGCAGAACCUUACCAAGCCUUGACAUGUCUGUCGCGAGUUUG
rnacentral:rRNA from 1 species